ensembl:lncRNA
UCACAGCCCACUUCAUGCUUGGCUGAGGGAAAGGUUAACAAACACAGGACAGAUGAUCAGUCACUGUAAAAUCAGAUGGAUGGUGUGAAUUGAAGCAGGCAUUAAGGGGGUUGUUUUACGCAUCAGUAAUACUUCUGAGCAUCACAUUUCAUCUCUCCAAAAUAACACACAGUUUUCUGGCAGGCAAAGGCCCUUAAAACAUGAAAUAACAAACUGAGGAGGGGUGGGAGGAUAAUGCUUCCUAAUGCAUAGAGCUUGUAUGACUACCGUCAUACCUAAAUUUACAACUUUCACUCACUAAAUCCAUUGCAGAGAUCUCCUCCUACAAGCCAGCAUUCUAGCCCCCAGAUAUCAACAAUUAGGGAUAUUUGAAAGUACAAUGUUUAAACGACCCAUAUGAGUGAUGGCGAAUACAAAAAUAAGAGAAAUAAGAAGCAGAAAUAAGACAAAAAAUAGAUAGCAUAAAAAUGGAUUUGGAAAUUAUUUUUGACUUAGAAAACAAGUAAAUGUGUCCUUGCUACUAACUCACAGCAAGACGGUUGUGGGUGUGAAUGUCGACCCUGUUCUUUUUCAUUGUUCAUCAGUGUUAUUUUCUUUAAAUUAAUUUGUAUGUGUAUGCUGUUGUGUCAAAGUUACUACAGAAAGCCGGAGUUGGUCUCCAUCUGUUAAGGCCAUUUUCAUGAGCAGGUCAAAUAAGAUUGAUUCAGAGGAAAUAUGUAAGAAUCUUUGAGAUAACAACAGUGAUAUUGUUUCUGUAUCUUAGCCAAUCUAAUACAUCACUGUCUCCAAUUAUAUAUACUAUUUGAUGGAGUGAUGCGUUUGUUUCCUUUAGAAGUCAACAUACUUCAUCAAACUAAAUCAUAUUUAUUUCCUUGCGUUCUUUAGCUGUGGUUAUAUGUGGCUAUAAAUCAUAAUACCAGAUUGGUGGUUAAGUGGUGACAAUUUGAGAUAACCUCUCUUCCGAUAACUCGUUGCUUGUAGGCAGCAUCAAACUGGGAAAGCAAUGAAGACUGUGAGUCCCACAGUAGUGAAAGCACCAAAAAGUAAACUUUAUCUCAAAAUACACAAGUAAUUUCACCCCAAUCUAUCUGCUGGCCAAUUCAGCACCCACCAAACACCAUUUUCUCAUCAUUUCACGGCAAUCAUCAUGAGGGAAGAGGCCAGGUCUGAACUGAGCUGUGCGUCAACAUGUCGCUGGCCAUAACAGCGCUGUGCUGAACUCACAUCCAUUAAUGUGACGUAACCCAAAAAGCUCUCAGCUUCUCUCCAGAGAGUUGAUAUAACCGGAAAAAAAAUACUACGUUAUUGUUACAAAUUCAUUGUGUCCAAUACAUUCCAUUCACAAGUAUCUAUAAUAAAGACAGAAAUCUACCUUCGUACACACAUCUCAGGACAAACACUACGUCAGAGGGAAGCAUUCACCUCAGUUGGAGUUUUUACCACAAACACAGCAGUGUUAAUGGUUUCAUGGAAAAAACUGACAUUAUAAAAGCAAAUCAAAGAUGAUCUGACAGCGCAGCUACUUUCAAAAGUUCAGUUGUGCAAGGCUGGAAUUAUUUCUCAUAUUGCGGCACAGGCUGAGCAAGCAGUGAGGCACACUUCUUUCUGUGUUUGUUUUCCCCUUAGUUUAAUUAGGGAAGGGUAUAACGUGUUCCUAAUAACUCAGACUGAACAAAGUAAGGAAGGAAGUAAGGAAGAUUCUGCUGAGUAAAUAUUAUUGUGGCCAGAACACAGAUUCUAAGUUAUUAAAAUGGUUAAUUAACUUUGUUUCCAGUAGUGUGAGUAACAACAUUAUCGAUUAUGUGUUCCCUGAUGCAGAGCUAUUAAUACCAAUAAGUUAAUAGCAAUAAUUACAGAUAACGAUGUUGUUACAAAUAUACUGCUGCACUAAUGAGCAACCAAGCAGUCAGUUUUUAAUUUUGACAAGAUAAUAUAACUUAAAUUGUAUAAGAAGUUCCGAUCAGAGGUGGGAGUUUUCUUAGUGGUGAUGGAAAUGAAAAGUGGACCUUUAUAUUUCCUUUAACAUUUUCUUACAGGCUUUUUUCACAGAAGACCUUUUGAUUUGUUAUGGUAGUAAAAGCCAUGACAUCCUCUAGGCAUUUACAAAGAGGUACAAAACAUUUUAGGGCUUUGAAUUCAUUCAAUAACUGCCUCUCGGCCCUCAACGGUGAUGAAGUCGGUCAGAAAACUUCAACUGGAUUCAACUGUGGGUGCAGGGACUGCAAAGAGGGAAUUGCCCUUUGGAGCCCAGCGGUACAGCCUGAGAACGACACUGGGAAGUAAAUCUACCAAUUCACAAGACGCUGCAGACUGCGUUGCUGGGUCUAAAAUAAACCCUUCUAAAGCCAUUAUAAAUAAAUAGAUAGAUUUAAGCAACUGUCUCCUCUUUUCCUAUUUAAAACCUAUACCUUCUGUCUCAGGGGAACUAGACUUUGAAGGAUGUAAUUGUUCGGGAGGGGGGGAGGGGUGGGGUCCCAUUGGUCUGAGCAAAGUUCCCACAAAUUCCCAUUGGGCAUGGCUCUGACCGAGUGUGUGUUUGUGUGUGUAGGUGUGUAUGUGUACGUGUAGUAACUCUGCUUGGGUAUAAAAACCCAGACAUCUCCAAGUUCAGUCUCAUGUACUCCCACCCUUCACUCCCACCAUCACCACCCCAAGUCCACAUUUCCCUUUGUCUCAUCCAGGAAAAACAGCCUGGAUCGCUGAUAAUGUAGCCUCCAAAAUGUGACGUUGUUUGUUCAACCACAAUGGACUAAAUUCACCAAAAGAAACAUUGCUUUUCAGCCACUAUCAGAAUGGAGCGUAUUACACAAAUCUAAAACUAGAUCUAUUCACGGAGAAAUCUAUCUGGACCAGCUGUGCCCGGGCUACUCCUUGCACUCCUUAAUCUCAGACAUUAGAGUUUCAUCAUAUUUUUGAGACUGCAUAAGUACUGAUAAGGACUCAGCGCUGUCAUGAUCUCCAAUCAGCUCACAGUUUCACGAGUGCAGACUCAUUUCAUUCCUUCCAAUCCAAAAAUAAACAGGCUGCAGGUAGAAAGGCGGUUACGGUCAGAGGUGUCAUGCAGGUUUAUCUGAUCUAAGCCUCAAAGCAAUCUGAUCAUUGGAUGUAAUGUGUCUGGAAUUACAAACGGCGCCUUACUAAAGUGGCAUAGCAUCCCACAAACCAAGAUCACUCACUAGAGCCCUCGAGAUGAUCCAGAGAGGCCAAAUACUAUACAGUGCUCGGAGGGCAUAGAUGCUUGAAAUCACAGCACAACACUAACACCUACAGCUGUUUGCUUUUUAUUUCCUGAUCAAAGACUUGAAGGCUAUUUCUGCUCACUCAGACAAGGAGGAUGGAAUGUCUCCUGUAUAGCCAAAGUUAACAUUAAAGUAUUACUAGACAAGAUGGCAUCCCUGCACUAUGCAUACAAGUAUUGGAUUCAAUUAGUUAAAUGAACCCUCUAAUAAUUACACGUAUAUGUUACAAUAUCCGGUCAAAGGGUUAAACUUGCUGAAGCCGAUUGCUGAAACCGAUUGCCAGCCUCAUCACUCAUCUUAUCUUUUACCAAACCGGCCAACAAAAGUGAGGAAUGAGCGAUGCAAAACAAGUCAACUUCUUUCAUUAAAUGCGGCUGUCAUGCACAAUGAAAUACUUUUCCCACCUGCAGUUGAAUAUCUGCUUGUUGGAAGACUUUGGGGUCAAAGUGUGGUCAGUUGCAAUCUUCCCAUCUGGUCUGUACUUGAACCACAGAUGGAGGGUGAAGUUUACACGGCACAAACACGGCGACCCCGUUCAUUCAACACGACAAAAUGCGGCACAGGAAAUUUGCUUUAUGCUACGGUCACAUCCAGGUAUAAAGAGAGCUCAGUGGGGAAACUCGAUUCUACUGAACAAUGAGUGCACCUGUUAUGAAUUAACAAGUAGUUUGAUACACUGUAUGUGCAAACAGGAACGCAGUGUCAACAACAAUGUGUUUAUUUUCAAAUGUACAGAAAAAGUGACGGUGAUAAGAUGGGGUCAGAGACAGUGUGCAAUCUCCAGAUCGUAUGUGUCGCUGCCGAAGAAUGUGAGCAAUGUCACCUGGGUGUGUUACCGUUUCCAUCCAAGGUGACGUCACAAUCUUAUACAGUCAGACAAUACAACCUGUUUCAAAUAAACCACAAGUGAUCAACAAUACAAAAGCACAAAACAGAUGGUUCUUGCUGUUCUCGGACGGCCCCAUGUGUCAAUAACUUUAGCUUAUAUUCAAAACCUCAAAUUAUCUCUAGCCUAAUGCUCGCCCCGGCCUUCUCGCAUCGGGGAUUCAUCAUAGUUGCGGAGGAAAAGGGGAAUGCUGGAGACAACCAAACAGGCAGCAACCCAGGAAGCUCUCGCUCAAGACGGAAGCAUCAAGCAUGAUUCCUUUCUCAGAUAAGGUUGGAAUUCAAUUAGUAGGCAGUCUUUGAGACAUCUGAAAAUAGUGAGAACACAAACAGCAGAUUGAGAAAAGAGGAGGCUGGAAUGAAAAUGCUUAAUGUCUACGUGAACCUCGGAUAUACAGUAAAUGAAAGGUAACUCAAGUCCAAUCCAAUUCAGAGGAUCUAUUAGAGAAAGAAAAGCUUGGGUUCCCAUGGCUCGCUGUAGACCCCUGCAUUAACUCUCUCUGUGCACGAAGAAGAGUGGGUGUUCCAAAAAUGCAUGAGAAAUCACUGAAGCAUAUUUAAAGAACUUUUUAUUGGUUGUUAACUUCAGCCGAACUCAUCUCGCUUAGGGCACUUUCACAAAAACAGGCUUUGUCAUUCACUCUAUUAAGGCUAAGUAGGUCAUGACAAUAGACAGGAUAAUCAGAUAACUUUAUUUAAUUUAACCUUCAGACUCUUGGCAGUAUAUGUACCUCUUUCCUUUGGUGGGAAGGUCUCCAUUGCAAAAUCACACAAUUUCAAGAUGAGUUACUGAGCAUAAACUAGAAAGGGGUUAUGAGCAAAUCCUUUUUUAAUUUUUGCAACCCCUAAAGACAGCUCUCCGCCUUUUGGGAAAACGCAUCAUUACAUCGUGGUUCGUGCUUCUUGCACAUCAGACGCGUGACUGUGCAAAGACCUGCAUAAAAUAAUUGGGCAAAUCUUUAGCCGAUGUGAUUUUUUUGUUUUGUUUCUGAGCUUAAUAUUGGACCAAAGGGUGUUAAUGAAAGAAAAACCCUUAGACCAUGUGUUAUUAUAUCAUUACAAACUGAAUAAAAAGUGAAAAAGGAUCUGUCAAAUUGAACCUGAGUCUGUCCUUAAAGGCCAUUUUACAAUCUACACUGUUUUCCCUUUGCAUGCAACAAAAACAAUUAUAAGAGUCCGUAGAGGAAAACAGGACAACCCUCCAAUCCCCAGAAUGAAUAAGCUGCCGGAGGCGUUAACAUGUUUU